rnacentral:snRNA from 1 species
GUGAGGGCAAUCUGGCUGUGACAUCUGUCACCCCAUUGAUCACCAGGAUUGAUUAGGCUGAUCUGGCUGGCCUAGGUGGGUGUCCCUUCCCUCCUCAGGGGAAAAAGAUGACCUUCUGCCAUAGAGGAGAACGGCUCUUGGGUCAAGGGUAUAAGAGUAGCUGCCGCUCUCCAGGUAGAACCUCCAAACAAGCUAUAAGUAAGUUUUGUUAAAUGCCACUGUAAGAAAAAUGAAUCCUAAAGACACCAUAAGCAAAAAGAAAGACAUUU